rnacentral:rRNA from 1 species
GACGAACCGUCCUAACGUUAUUCGGAAUUACUGGGCUUAAAGGGUGCGUAGGCGGUCGGGUAAGUCUGAUGUGAAAUCUCACAGCUUAACUGUGAAACUGCAUUGGAUACUAUUCGGCUUGAGAGUUGGAGGGGGGACUGGAAUUCUUGGUGUAGCAGUGAAAUGCGUAGAUAUCAAGAGGAACACCAGUGGCGAAGGCGAGUCCCUGGACAACUUCUGACGCUGAGGCACGAAAGCUAGGGGAGCAAACAGG